CGUGUCAUCUCGCGAGAUCGCGCUCGAUAAAUCCGAUUCGAAUUUCAACGACGUUCGACAUCACGCGUUUCAAAAUUCUUCUCACCGUGUGUAGGUGGAAUUCAGCUUCGCGAACGAUCCGUCGAUCGUUCCCGGACGGUUUUGACGCGACUUGAACGCUUCUUCAUUUACGAGAAGAGUCAAAUUGAUGUUUCGCUCGUCGUCGCCUCGGAGUUUCUAUCACUCACCUCGGCUUCUUGUUGGCUGAAACUGACGAUCGAUGUCUCUCGUCCGUUUCAUCGUGUUCAAGUUCUCACGCUUAAACUCGAUACAUCGCUUGAUCUCGCGCCAAGGAUCAAAUUCGGCGAGAUAGUAUAGCCCACGAUCCUUGCUACAACGAAUUCUUUCCACCGGAAGAAUACCAAAUACUCUGCGGAUAUCCAUAAAAUCUAUCUUGCCAAGCGACGAUGGCGGAGAA
rnacentral:misc_RNA from 1 species